UACGGAGGAUGCAAGCGUUAUCCGGAAUGAUUGGGCGUAAAGCGUCCGCAGGUGGCUGUGUAAGUCUGCUGUCAAAGAGCAAAGCUCAACUUUGUAAAGGCAGUGGAAACUACACGGCUAGAGUGCGUUCGGGGCAGAGGGAAUUCCUGGUGUAGCGGUGAAAUGCGUAGAGAUCAGGAAGAACACCGGUGGCGAAAGCGCUCUGCUGGGGCGGAACUGACACUGAGGCACGAAAGCUAGGGGAGCGAAUGGG
rnacentral:rRNA from 1 species